rnacentral:tRNA from 1 species
GCACUAGUAGCUUAAUAUAAAGCACCGGUCUUGUAAACCGGAAAAUGGAGGUUUAACUCCUCCCUGUUGCU